AGGAAAAAUCAGACAGACUAUGCCAGGAGCCCUCUGAAAGAGAAGAGUCAACUGUGGAGGGGGCACCUGUGAAUGAAUCCUGCGGAGCUGCUAACAGAGCAGACUUACACACACAACAUGACUUUCCUGGGCCUGACUCCCGGACCUGUCCCCAGCGCCUCGCGGCCUCUCGAGCCCCUUCAGUGACCAAGAUGCAGAGAUCAGGACGCCAUUGCACCACCCCAGGUGCCCGCCUCUAGCUGGCUCCGCCUGGGCCCCGAGGGAAGGGUCUGGCGCUGUCGCCCAGGUUGGAAUACAGCGGUGCAAUCUCAACUCACUGCAAACUCCGCCUCCCAGGUUCAAGCAAUUCUCCUGCCUCAGUCUCCUGAGUAGCUGAGAUUACAGAUGCCUGCCACCACACGCAGCUAAUUGGUUGGGUGUGGUGGGGCUUUCCAAUGAUUACUUAUUAAUGAUUACUUAUGAAAAACAACAACAAAAAAGCCAUCUUGAAGCUGCUUUUAAUGAGAGAACAAAUGUGCUCCCAAGCAACAGAGCAGCGAAAUUCUUUAUUACUGGAUUCUAACUUUCCUCUCUAACUGUAACUGUCUCAGCUCCACCUCAUGUGACUUGGAGGGUAUGUUGCAACCUGCGUCUUCACCACCCAUUCAUGAAGAUCUAUAAAACUAAUGUAAACUGCUGGGGCAAUUUCAACAUGAGUCAACUGGAGAUUGUUACUUGGUGAGAAUGCGCAAGUGGCAAAGAUCUAAAUUUGUUCAGCUAAUUUGUAAUUAACCUUCGCUUCUCACAUGUCAGUAUGUGAAGUGUCUGGUUUAAGCAAUUUAUCCAAAAAAGCCAUAGACUCUUUAAAUAACAACAAAACCUGGGCCUGGAAUUUUAUAAAGGCAGAAUGAGUAAGA